UCAAGUAUCCUGUUUUUUGUUAUAUGCUUGUUUGAUUUUCUGUUUAAAGGUGUGGGUUCUUUGCUAGCAAGAUUCCAGCUAUCUGAGGGACCAAGCAAACCUUCCCCUCUGGUUGUGCAAUUCACCAGUGAAGGGAGCACUCUGUCCAGCUGUGAUAUUGAACUUGUUGGAGCUGGAUAUCGAUUUUCACUUAUUAAAAAGAGGUUUGCAGCAGGAAAAUAUCUGGCAGAUAACUAAGAGAAGUUUAUGCAAGUAUGUGGAAAAUCCAUAUAGCUGCGGACUGCUGUGGGUAGACGGGUUUUAUAUGCUGUUUGAGGAAAAACUAACUAAAUCCUGUACUCGGGACAUUUCUGUUGGAAGUGUCAGCAACUUUCCACACUCCUCGCUCAGAAAAUACCGUGUUGACCAGUCCUACAGUAUUUACUUCUGGAUGUAAUAUUGUUAAUGUUUUAAAUUGUAAUUACUGUAUUUGUAAAUUGUACUCAUUCCAGUAAGGCUGUAUUUUGGCAGUUAGACACUUGAGUUUUAGCAUUUUACCAUUAAUGAAAUGGAUGUAAUUUAAACUGUGGUAUAUAAAUUUAAUAGUAGUACUGUUAAUGGCACAAUGCUUUCAGAGGUAGAUAACAUUUUGUCAAUAUAUACAAUUUGAAUACAAUGUUAAUAACUGUGAGAAAGGGGGUGCCUCAAAAAGAAAGCAAACUAGGAACCUGCAAAGGAAUUGGAUUUUUUUUUUAGUUCUUAGUACUGUCAUAUAAAUUAUUUAGAGUAAACAAGUCUGUUUCUAAAUGUUUAAUUGAUUUAACUCCA